rnacentral:rRNA from 1 species
UACGUAGGCAGCAAGCGUUGUUCGGAGUUACUGGGCGUAAAGGGUGCGUAGGUGGCUCUAUAAGUAUGGUGUGAAAUCUCCCGCUUAACUGGGAGGGUGCGCCGUAGACUGUGGGGCUAGAGUGUGGGAGAGGAAAGUGGAAUUCCUGGUGUAGCGGUGAAAUGCGUAGAUAUCAGGAGGAACACCGGUGGUGUAAACGCUUUCUGGACCAU